rnacentral:lncRNA from 1 species
AAGUGGGGGGCUGCGGCGGGAGGUGAGGGCCGCCUGCCUGGCCGGACCCCAGGGGUGUCGGACGGUGGGCAGGGCCUCCUGGGAUCCCUGAGGCGCCGGCAGGAGGAGACGCCCUGGGGUCGGUGCCUCCACCUUCCCGUCCGGGCGGUUACAGCUUUCCCGCGUUCGCUGUCAGAGGCAGGGACCGGCGACCUCGGGGGCCUGGUCCCUGAGCCACAGCGGGGAGUCGUCCGAGCAUCUCGGGAUGAGGAAGAUCAAGUUGAAUCAAAAAAGAGGAAAGAAAGCCCAUCGCGUGUGACAGACAAGAAAGUGCUACCGUUAAAAGGCAAACAGUUCUAGAGGAGCCUGUGACUGACUACAGCAGGAGAGCAGGCGUGGCAUGGAUCCCGUGCAAGCCGGCAGUGGAGACCCAGCGCCUGAGAGUGACGUGGGGAACUAGCAGGAGCUAGAAGUGACUUAGGACGAGCUUUUGUAAAGCUGAGGUGUGAGUGUAAUAUCAGGAUGAUUUGACUGCAAGCAACAGAGAAUCAAACAGAAAUGGCCUAGGGAGUCCCUUCGUGGCUCCCCAGUUAACAAUCUGACUGGAUCAUGAGGAUGCAGGUUCAAUCCCCGGCCUCUAUCAGUGGGUGAAGGAUCUAGUGCUACCAUGAGCUGUGCUGUGGUGUAGGCUGGCGGCCGCAGCUCCAGUUGGACCCCUAGCCCGGGAACUUCCAUAUGCUGUGGGUGCAGCCCUAAAAAGCAAAAACAAACAAAAAAAUGAAACAAAACAAAACAAAAAAUCCACAAAAAAAUCAGAAAUGGCCUAAACAAAGAAGAAAACGUGUUAUCCCAUACUACAAGAAGUUUGGGGAUUGAGUGAGUGGUUAAAUGCAUGAUUAGUUUAGAAACUUGACAGCACCACCCAGGACCCAUUUUCCCUAAGGCGCUGCUGCCCCCCACCCUGUAGGCUUAGCCACCGCAGCAAAGACACCCCCCUUCCCCAACCAGAGCCCUGCGUCAGGACUGGAAGGGGCCUCCUUCCCUCCAUCCCCUUCCAGAACCUCCGCAGAAGACUCCCCUUGACGUCUCAUUCCAUCCCAUACUGGUCACUUUGCAGGGGAACGGAUUUACCAUGGUGGCCAGAGACAAUUAAGUCGCCCCCAUCUCUGGAGAACACUUGACCACUCAGUACCCAGCAACUCGGGUACUCCUGGCAAGAAAGAGACAGGUGAUACCCACUGGGUCCUGUCCACAGCGCCUGCCCCCAGCAACCUGUCUACCUGGAAAACUGAGGGGGUGCCACGCGGGUCUGUGUCUUCUCUGUAGUUUGCCCGAGUCUUUCCCAUUAGGUAAGUGUCGCCCUUUUCCCUCUUUGCGGCUUUCCUCCUUGGCACGUCACCCAGGUUUUGUUCAGCCACAAGGGGCGAUAGGCUGAAAGAGGAAUCUCCAGGCCUAGGUGAUGGGCCAGCCGUGGUGAUCCUCACCCGUUUGCCUGGGCACCGUUUGGGAAACGUCCCCCUGCUCACCACGGAGAUGAAAGACCAGGUCCCUGGAGGGGCUUCGCGGAAGGAUUUUUCUCCCCAGUAAAGCGGCAGACAAGCCAAGGGUCCGCCGCCCUACGCGCCGUCUGCCUUGAGCCGCCGCCAGCUCACAUCCUUGAGCAGAAACGUUGCAGGGAGGCAGAAAGCGCCGAGUCUCAUGGAUCGUGCUGAGCGUUGCAUCCACCCAGGACUGCUUACCUUCAGACUUCUGCUCCGGUGGCAGAGCAGCAAACCCCUAUUGUGUAAGCCUUUGUAGAUGGCUGGUGCCACUUGCUGCUGAAAGUGACAGAUAAUCUUUCUAGGAAUAUAACCCCUAAAGCCCUUUAUGGUAACAGAUGCACUUAGAGAAUGUAGUUUUCUUUCUUUUUCUUACUUAAAAAAAAAAAAAAAAAAAGCUGAAGUCUGCCUCAGGCAAAAAGACAAACUGAAAACAUAUGUAUGCAUAAUUGAAGUGCAAUCAAUAUUCAUUAGAAAAUGAACGAAUGUUCUUCAGGUUACUUUAAUAGUUUUCUCGGGAAUCUGUUUUUGGAUACGUAUGUCAGCUACAAUAUUUGGCACUUCCAGGAGCUCUGUGUUGAUGUCCUUCCUAGAAGUUGCACUUCUGCGCAUUUUUCUGCGCCUUUGGGGUCUCAGAUGUUCCUGGAAGGAAUCACUUUUCACUCCCCUGGCUUUUCCCUCGAACAGGUAACUUGUAACUUGCUGUUGCCUAUAGAUAUCGAGCAUUUGUCCAAAAAUAUGUUCCUACAAUACCUUCCUGUCUCAGCCAUUCCAUUCACAAGACAGUUUAAACAUUUCUCCAUGCUAUUCCACAGAUCAUUCAUAGAGGAACCAUCUGAACCAUGCAACAAAGUCUAGAAACUUUUAUGACUUUUAACUUCCACGACAAGUUAUCAUGUACUUGGUACCCUCAGCCAGGUACAUGUUAAGCUCAGGUUUCAUGUAUGUUAGCGUGGAGCCAUAUUUCCUUGUGGAUAAACCUAUAGAUUUAUCCCCACCCCCACUUCCCUUCCCAGAAGUAACUGUUGCCUUGACAACAGGGUAAGGACAGCAGUGAUGACGGCUGUGAUAACGAUUAUGAUAAUGAUGGCAGGAGAAACUGUAUGCUGGCCAUUAUCUAAGCACUUUACAUGCAUUAGCUCCUUUAACGCCCAAGGAGGCAUGUGACAGAAAUGCUAUUUUUAUCCCCGUGUUAGAGAUGAGGGCUGAGGAAAGACUGGUGAGGUGCCUUGCCCAAGGCCACACGUCUGGUCCCCAGAGAAGCCAGGCUUCCUACCCAGGCAACCCAGGGGUCCCAUACACUGUCGCUGCCUGAUAGGUAGCAGUGGUGGUGAUACACACUUCCUCUAGGUACAUGCGCAUCCAUAAUAAAGACGCAGUAGACUUAUUUGC